CCUGGCUCAGAUUGAACGCUGGCGGCGGCCUAACACAUGCAAGUCGAGCGGAUGAGGGGAGCUUGCUCCUCGAUUCAGCGGCGGACGGGUGAGUAAUGCCUAAGAAUCUGCCUAGUAGUGGGGGACAACGUUUCGAAAGGAACGCUAAUACCGCCACGUCCUACGGGAGAAAGUGGGGGAUCUUCAGACCUCACUCUAUUAUAUGACCCUAUGUCAGAUUAUCUAUUUGGUAGGGUAAAGGCCUACCAGGGCCACUAUCCGUAUCUGGUCUGAGAAGAUGAUCACUCACUCUGGAACUGACACACGGUCCACACUCCUACGGGAGGCAGCAGUGGGGAAUAUUGGACAAUGGGCGAAAGCCUGAUCCACCCGUGCCGCGUGUGUGAAGAAGGCCUUCGGGUCGUAAAGCACUUUAAGUUGGGAGGAAGGGCUCAUAGCGAACACCUGUGAGUUUUGACGUUACCAACAGAAUAAGCACCGGCUAACUUCGUGCCAACAGCCGCGGUAAUACGAAGGGUGCAAGCUUUAAUCAGAUUUACUGGGCGUAAAGCGCGCGUAUGUGGCUUGAUAAGUUGUAUGUGAAAUCCCCGGGCUCACCCUGGAGAACUGCAUCCAAAACUGUCUGGCUAGAGUGCGGUAGAGGGUAGUGAAUUUCCAGUGUAGCGGAGAAAUGCAUAGAUAUGAAAAGGCACACCAGUGUCGAAAGGCGACUACCCGGACUGACACUGACACUGAGGUGUGAGAGAGUGGGGAGCAAACAGGAUUAGAUACCCCGGUAGUGCACGCGCUAAACGAUGUCAAAUAGCCGUUGGGAUCUCUGAGAUAUUAGUGGCGCAGCUAACACAUUAAGUUGACCGCGCGGGGAGUACGGCCGCAAGGUUAUAACUCAAAUGAAUUGACGGGGGCCCGCACAAGCGGUGGAGCAUGUGGUUUAAUUCGAAGCAACGCGAAGAACACUACACGGCCUUGACAUGCUGAGAACUUUCCAGAGAUGGAUUGGUGCCUUUUGGAAAUCUGACACAGGUGUUGCAUGGCUGUGUUCAGCUCGUGUCUUGAGAUGUUGGGUUAAGUCCCGUAACGAGCGCAACCCUUGUCUUUAGUUACCAGCACGUUAUGGUGGGCACUCUAAGGAGACUGCCGGUGACAAACCGGAGGAAGGUGGGGAUGAGGUCAAGUCAUCAUGGCCCUUACGGCCAGGGGUACACACGUGCUACAAUGGUCGGUACAAAGGGUUGCCAAGCCGCGAGGUGGAGCUAAUCCCAUAAAACCGAUCGUAGUCCGGAUGGCAGUAUUCAACUAGUCUGCGUGAAGUCGGAAUCGCUAGUAAUCGAGAAUCAGAACGUCACGGUGAA
rnacentral:rRNA from 1 species